ACUUUAAGCGAGGAGGAGGCUACUUUAGUUAAUACCUAGAGAUAGUGGACGUUACUCGCAGAAUAAGCACCGGCUAACUCUGUGCCAGCAGCCGCGGUAAUACAGAGGGUGCGAGCGUUAAUCGGAUUUACUGGGCGUAAAGCGUGCGUAGGCGGCUUAUUAAGUCGGAUGUGAAAUCCCCGAGCUUAACUUGGGAAUUGCAUUCGAUACUGGUGAGCUAGAGUAUGGGAGAGGAUGGUAGAAUUCCAGGUGUAGCGGUGAAAUGCGUAGAGAUCUGGAGGAAUACCGAUGGCGAAGGCAGCCAUCUGGCCUAAUACUGACGCUGAGGUACGAAAGCAUGGGGAGCAAACAGGAUUAGAUACCCUGGUAGUCCAUGCCGUAAACGAUGUCUACUAGCCGUUGGGGCCUUUGAGGCUUUAGUGGCGC
rnacentral:rRNA from 1 species